rnacentral:misc_RNA from 1 species
GAGGAAGACAGCCCUGGAAAUGGUCCAGGCAGCUGGAACAGAUAGACACUGUGUGACAUUUGUAUUGCACGAGGAAGACCAUACCCUAGGAAAUUCUCUACGUUACAUGAUCAUGAAGAACCCGGAAGUGGAAUUUUGUGGUUACACUACGACCCAUCCUUCAGAGAGCAAAAUUAAUUUACGCAUUCAGACUCGAGGUACCCUUCCAGCUGUUGAG